rnacentral:rRNA from 1 species
GAUCAUGGCUCAGGACGAACGCUGGCGGCGCGCCUAACACAUGCAAGUCGAACGAGCGAGAGAGAGUUUGCUUUCUCAAGCGAGUGGCGAACGGGUGAGUAACGCGUGAGGAACCUGCCUCAAAGAGGGGGACAACAGUUGGAAACGACUGCUAAUACCGCAUAAGCCCACGGCUCGGCAUCGAGCAGGGGGAAAAGGAGCAAUCCGCUUUGAGAUGGCCUCGCGUCCGAUUAG